rnacentral:rRNA from 1 species
GUGCACCAGGCGAGAAUUUUUCUCAAUGGGGGCAACCCUGAAGGAGCGACGCCGCGUGGAGGAUGAAGGCUUUCGGGUCGUAAACUCCUGUCAUUUGAGAACAAGUGCCAACACCUAACUACUGUUGGCUUGAUAGUAUCAGAAGAGGAAGGGACGGCUAACUCUGCGCCAGCAGCCGCGGUAAUACAGAGGUCCCAAGCGUUGUUCGGAUUCAUUGGGCGUAAAGGGUGCGUAGGUGGCGCCGUAAGUGGGGUGUGAAAUUCCGGAGCUUAACUCCGAAACUGCAUUCCAUACUGCGGUGCUUGAGGACUGGAGAGGAGACUGGAAUUUACGGUGUAGCAGUGAAAUGCGUAGAGAUCGUAAGGAAGACCAGUGGCGAAGGCGGGUCUCUGGACAGUUCCUGACACUGAGGCACGAAGGCCAGGGGAGCGAACGGGAUUAGAUACCCCCGUAGU